rnacentral:tRNA from 1 species
GAUAAUGUGGCUGAAAAUAGGCGAUAAAUUGUAAAUUUAUUUAUAAAAAAUAAUUUUUUUCAUUAUUA